UACAGAGGUCUCAAGCGUUUGUUCGGAUUCAUUGGGCGUAAAGGGUGCGUAGGCGGCGCGGUAAGUCGGGGUGUGAAAUCUCGGAGCUUAACUCCGAAACUGCAUUCGAUACUGCCGUGCUUGAGGACUGGAGAGGAGACUGGAAUUUACGGUGUAGCGGUGAAAUGCGUAGAUAUCGUGAGGAAGACCAGUGGCGAAGGCGGGGUCUCUGGACAGUUCCUGACACUGAGGCACGAAGGCCAGGGGGAGCAAAACGGGG
rnacentral:rRNA from 1 species